rnacentral:rRNA from 1 species
CCGGCGCACGGGUGAGUAACGCGUAUCCAACCUGCCUUACACUCUUGGACAGCCUUCUGAAAGGGAAGGAUUAAUACAAGAUGUUAUCAUGAGUAAGCAUUUUCACAUGAUUAAAGGUUUACCGGUGUAAGAUGGGGAUGCGUUCCAUUAGAUAGUAGGCGGGGUAACGGCCCACCUAGUCUUCGAUGGAUAGGGGUUCUGAGAGGAAGGUCCCCCACAUUGGAACUGAGACACGGUCCAA